rnacentral:rRNA from 1 species
UGACGAGUGGCGGACGGGUGAGUAAUGUCUGGGAAACUGCCCGGUGGAGGGGGAUAACUACUGGAAACGGUAGCUAAUACCGCAUAACGUCUUCGGACCAAAGUGGGGGAUCUUCGGACCUCACGCCACCGGAUGUGCCCAGAUGGGAUUAGCUAGUAGGUGGGGUAACGGCUCACCUAGGCGACGAUCCCUAGCUGGUCUGAGAGGAUGACCAGCCACACUGGAACUGAGACACGGUCCAGACUCCUACGGGAGGCAGCAGUGGGGAAUAUUGCACAAUGGGCGCAAGCCUGAUGCAGCCAUGCCGCGUGUAUGAAGAAGGCCUUCGGGUUGUAAAGUACUUUCAGCGGGGAGGAAGGCGGUGAGGUUAAUAACCUCGCCGAUUGACGUUACCCGCAGAAGAAGCACCGGCUAACUCCGUGCCAGCAGCCGCGGUAAUAC